UCUCUCUUUCUCUAAAAGUUUGCUCUCUAGAACCUUCUGGUUCUCUCCUUCUUCUCCGAUAAAGAUCAUUGCCUCUCCGUCUCACUCCUCCCUCACUUCUCUCGAUUUCUAGUAGCCAUGUAGUCCUUGUAUCGCUGUUUUCUCUCUAAAGCUUGAAGCCCAACAGCUUCCGCCAUUAAAAACGGUCACUGAAGGUUCACUUGGGUCUGUUUCCGGCUUUACUCCGGUUGUUUUUUUCCGAUUAUGCCUUCUAUGGAAUUAUGUAUGAGUUUCACGGACAGGUUUCUCAUUUUUCUAAUUUAUUUUGCAAACCCUAGUUUUUUGCCUUAAUCUUUUUGGUUUCUGUCUUUUAAACGAUUUUCUUUCUUGGGUUAGCCUUUGUCUUCUACACCUCCUAUUACUUGAUAUUUUUGAUUAUUCAAGUUCUAAAUGUUUUGGUUCCUUUUCUGAAAUUAGGUUUUCCUAGCCCCCUUUCAAAAACACUUUACUUUUCUGAUUUUGAGUACUAGUCCGUAACUCUCAGUGCUACUUCUAAACAUUUUGUUAAAAUAUGAUGAAAGCCCUUACCCUACAUGUUUGUAUAUGUAUUUGUCUGUUUGCAUGUUCUUCUGGGUUCUUUUUUGAGUUUCGUGUUCUCUGCUUUAAUCUUGUUGCUAGUGUUUCAUUUCCUACCAUGCUGUAUUCUUCUCUUAAGGGUUUUCUGGCUGUUUACAUGGUGAUUUUAUACUGAUUCUUACAAUCUCUUUAAGACUGUGAUUAUUGGUCAUAAAUUGUGAUUUUGUGUAUUCUCCUUACAGUUUUAGUAUUGAUUUCGAAUUUUUCUUCCUCAAUCAGUGGGAUACAUUCCUCAAUUAAUAACUAAUCUCUUAGGUUUUAAAACUCGCUCAUUAAUUUGAAAAUUAUUUUUCAGAAUUAAAGUGGUAUUUUUCCUUAUAUUUGUGCACAAGUACGUUAAUUUAUUUGCUUGACAUGUUUCCCCGGUUAAGUAUCAUGCAUCUAAUCUUCAUUGUAUACCUUAUACUAUUUUGUUUCCUUAUGUGACCAUGCCAUACUUUUUGAUUCCUUUCCUUUUAAAAUGACUGCUUAUUACCGUUUGACUAUGAUUCUUUAAUUAAAAGGGAGUCCAUAUACUUAUUUGAUUUUGACUGAUACUCAAUUCCUUAAAUAUUGAUUGAUACCUUAUUUGUUUACUCGUAUUCAGUACUAUAAGUACUCAUCACCUUUCUCUUUGAACACACCAACACACACUGCUCUCACAAUCUCAGACUCUCUGAAUUCUCUCUUUCUCUGCUAUGACUCUCUCAUUGUCUUAUUUGAACACUCAAUCGGCUAAAGGCCAAGAUUGAGUAGCCUGGGAUGAUUAAUUUACACUAUUGGGUCCUAUCAUUGUCUACUUGGGUCUGUUGCUGCUGGUAUUCUCAUAUUGCUGCUGCUAUUCCCAUAUUCCUGAUGCUAUUCCCACAUUUCAGCUGUUAAUUUCAUAUUGCUGCUGCUAUUUUCAUACUGCUGUUAUUCUCUUUGCUGCUUACACUCUCUGCUCACCUGGUUCCUCGGUGCAUUAUUGUUAUUGAGGUCUAUCACUUGCAACUGGUAUGUCACCCCAUUAAGAUACAGUUUCCACAACAUCAUGUUUCUAUUAGUUUUGCAUUUCAUAAAGUUUCUUGUAUGCUUUUACUUAUGGUUUUGUUUCUCUUUUUGUCACUAGCAUAUUCUUACUCUGUUUUAUUCAGUUUAACAUGCUCCCUUCCAUGUUGUCCUUGUCUCAAUAUAUGUUUUCCUCUUCCAUGUUCACUGCUUCUUGGCUACUUAACAGCCCUGAAACCUCUCCCCUAGGUUGGUUAUAUUUGGGGUUUGGUGCAGUAAGAACUAAACCCUUAUUUUACAACCAUGUUUGAUUACUCUCGCCCAACAUGUUUUCUGUACACUUUACUUAUUUGUUCUUUACUUAUUUGCUCUCUCACCCCCUCCCAUGUCUCAAUGAAUGUUUAUGUUUUCCUUCUGUGCUACUACCAUGCAUCCAUGUUUUCUUGGCUACUUGGUUAACCUAAAACCCCUGUUUGAGGCUAAGUGUUUGGUAUAGUGAGAGCUGAACUCGUGUUUGAAAUCAUGGCCGGUUACUUUCAAUAUGUAAGUAGUUUACUUUGCUUAUUUGUUCCCUCCCACUUUGCCCUUAUUUGUGUGAUGCUCUGUUAUUCUAAAAUUGAUCAGUC
rnacentral:lncRNA from 1 species